UACGUAGGGUGCAAGCGUUAAUCGGAAUUACUGGGCGUAGAGCGUGCGCAGGCGGUUAUGUAAGACAGAUGUGAAAUGCCCGGGCUUAACCUGGGAACUGCAUUUGUGACUGCAUGGCUAGAGUUUGGCAGAGGGGGGUAGAAUUCCACGUGUAGCAGUGAAAUGCGUAGAUAUGUGGAGGAACACCGAUGGCGAAGGCAGCCCCCUGGGUCAAGACUGACGCUCAUGCACGAAAGCGUGGGGAGCAAACAGG
rnacentral:rRNA from 1 species